rnacentral:rRNA from 1 species
GACGAACGCUGGCGGCGUGCUUAACACAUGCAAGUCGAACGGAAAGGCCCUGCUUGCAGGGUACUCGAGUGGCGAACGGGUGAGUAACACGUGGGUGAUCUGCCCUGCACUUCGGGAUAAGCCUGGGAAACUGGGUCUAAUACCGGAUAGGAGCCAUUUUUAGUGUGAUGGUUGGAAAGUUUUUUCGGUGUAGGAUGAGCUCGCGGCCUAUCAGCUUGUUGGUGGGGUAAUGGCCUACCAAGGCGGCGACGGGUAGCCGGCCUGAGAGGGUGGACGGCCACAUUGGGACUGAGAUACGGCCCAGACUCCUACGGGAGGCAGCAGUGGGGAAUAUUGCACAAUGGGCGCAAGCCUGAUGCAGCGACGCCGCGUGGGGGAUGACGGCCUUCGGGUAGUAAACUCCUUUCGCUAGGGACGAAGCUUUUUGUGACGGUACCUAGAGAAGAAGCACCGGCUAACUACGUG